rnacentral:rRNA from 1 species
GAUGAACGCUGGCGGCGUGCCUAAUACAUGCAAGUCGAGCGAACGGACGAGAAGCUUGCUUCUCUGAUGUUAGCGGCGGACGGGUGAGUAACACGUGGAUAACCUACCUAUAAGACUGGGAUAACUUCGGGAAACCGGAGCUAAUACCGGAUAAUAUUUUGAACCGCAUGGUUCAAAAGUGAAAGACGGUCUUGCUGUCACUUAUAGAUGGAUCCGCGCUGCAUUAGCUAGUUGGUAAGGUAACGGCUUACCAAGGCAACGAUGCAUAGCCGACCUGAGAGGGUGAUCGGCCACACUGGAACUGAGACACGGUCCAGACUCCUACGGGAGGCAGCAGUAGGGAAUCUUCCGCAAUGGGCGAAAGCCUGACGGAGCAACGCCGCGUGAGUGAUGAAGGUCUUCGGAUCGUAAAACUCUGUUAUUAGGGAAGGACAUAUGUGUAAGUAACUGUGCACAUCUUGACGGUACCUAAUCAGAAAGCCACGGCUAACUACGUGCCAGCAGCCGCGGUAAUACGUAGGUGGCAAGCGUUAUCCGGAAUUAUUGGGCGUAAAGCGCGCGUAGGCGGUUUUUUAAGUCUGAUGUGAAAGCCCACGGCUCAACCGUGGAGGGUCAUUGGAAACUGGAAAACUUGAGUGCAGAAGAGGAAAGUGGAAUUCCAUGUGUAGCGGUGAAAUGCGCAGAGAUAUGGAGGAACACCAGUGGCGAAGGCGACUUUCUGGUCUGUAACUGACGCUGAUGUGCGAAAGCGUGGGGAUCAAACAGGAUUAGAUACCCUGGUAGUCCACGCCGUAAACGAUGAGUGCUAAGUGUUAGGGGGUUUCCGCCCCUUAGUGCUGCAGCUAACGCAUUAAGCACUCCGCCUGGGGAGUACGACCGCAAGGUUGAAACUCAAAGGAAUUGACGGGGACCCGCACAAGCGGUGGAGCAUGUGGUUUAAUUCGAAGCAACGCGAAGAACCUUACCAAAUCUUGACAUCCUUUGACAACUCUAGAGAUAGAGCCUUCCCCUUCGGGGGGGCAAAGUGACAGGUGGUGCAUGGUUGUCGUCAGCUCGUGUCGUGAGAUGUUGGGUUAAGUCCCGCAACGAGCGCAACCCUUAAGCUUAGUUGCCAUCAUUAAGUUGGGCACUCUAAGUUGACUGCCGGUGACAAACCGGAGGAAGGUGGGGAUGACGUCAAAUCAUCAUGCCCCUUAUGAUUUGGGCUACACACGUGCUACAAUGGACAAUACAAAGGGCAGCGAAACCGCGAGGUCAAGCAAAUCCCAUAAAGUUGUUCUCAGUUCGGAUUGUAGUCUGCAACUCGACUACAUGAAGCUGGAAUCGCUAGUAAUCGUAGAUCAGCAUGCUACGGUGAAUACGUUCCCGGGUCU